rnacentral:snoRNA from 1 species
AGCCCCCUGGUGUUUACCAUAGGCUGUGUUCUUUCAUUGGCUAUAUAGAAAGAGGAGGCAAAGAAAACCUACUCCAUACAAACCUCAGCCCAGAACCUUUACCUGGUCUGUGUUGCAAACGGGUAGACAUGA